rnacentral:piRNA from 1 species
UCUGAUGAAGAGAAGAAAGGCCUAAACU